UACGAAGGGUGCUAGCGUUGUUCGGAAUUACUGGGCGUAAAGAGUUCGUAGGCGGUUAUACAAGUCAGAGGUGAAAUCCCAGAGCUUAACUCUGGAACUGCCUUUGAAACUGUAUAGCUGGAGUGUGUGAGGGGAUAGCGGAAUUCCUAAUGUAGAGGUGAAAUUCGUAGAUAUUAGGAGGAACACCGGUGGCGAAGGCGGCUAUCUGGCACACAACUGACGCUGAGGAACGAAAGCGUGGGGAUCAAACAGG
rnacentral:rRNA from 1 species